GAGUUUGAUCUUGGCUCAGAACGAACGCUGGCGGCAUGCCUAACACAUGCAAGUCGAACGAGACCUUCGGGUCUAGUGGCGCACGGGUGCGUAACGCGUGGGAAUCUGCCCUGGGGUGCGGAAUAACUCGGAGAAAUCCGUGCUAAUACCGCAUAAUGUCUUCGGACCAAAGAUUUAUUGCCCUGGGAUGAGCCCGCGUAGGAUUAGCUAGUUGGUGGGGUAAAGGCCUACCAAGGCGACGAUCCUUAGCUGGUCUGAGAGGAUGAUCAGCCACACUGGGACUGAGACACGGCCCAGACUCCUACGGGAGGCAGCAGUGGGGAAUAUUGGACAAUGGGGGAAACCCUGAUCCAGCAAUGCCGCGUGAGUGAUGAAGGCCUUAGGGUUGUAAAGCUCUUUUACCAGGGAUGAUAAUGACAGUACCUGGAGAAUAAGCUCCGGCUAACUCCGUGCCAGCAGCAGCCGCAGU
rnacentral:rRNA from 1 species